ACAGAACAGCUGAUAUGAAGUCCAGAUCUGGGUAUUGCCAUGUUGGCAGCAAGAGCAGCACUGACUCUGCCUAUGUCACAAUGAACCCAUAAAUGAAGAAAGGGGUGGAGCGUUGGUGGCUGUGUUG